rnacentral:lncRNA from 1 species
AACAAAGGACAAAAUCACAACAACGUGCUACAGAGAGCAGACUAUAGCCGUGCUACAGAGAGCAGACUUACUUUCUUUAUUAAUUGCAACAUAUCUUUUUAUUAAACAUAUAAUGUAAAUAUAUCUUUAUGGUAACUUAUUAUAUUUUUUAUUGCUUUUUUUUUACAUUUUAAUAUGUUAAAAUAGCUUUUUAUGGUUGUCAUGAUAUUAGUGCAUAAGAUGACCACGUAGGUUUUUU